rnacentral:rRNA from 1 species
GCACCCAUCAUCUCCACUCCCAGUAGAAACUGUUGUCGUUUCCUCUGCUCCCAACAGCGCCUCCCACAUUACUCCCUCUCUAUCCCCUGGCCCAGCAGUUCAUCUGGUGGAACCACGACAUGAACGCCCUGAACUCUGCCUACUAGCAAAUGUCCUCGCAACUCCUUUCUCCAGAUCUCUUCAUGUCGCCGUCGCCACCGCGUCCACGGAUCAAUAUUGUUCCGCCAUGAUAUUUUCUUCGGGUCACUAGUGUUGCUUAUUUAUGUCAACGUCAAGUGUUUGCCACAAUGGAAACCUCCAGGACGGGAUGCGUACUUUUGUAAGGCCACAUGUGUGUAGGUACUUUCAGCAAAACUGCACAUGGAUUAUUAGGUUGCUCAUAUGUAUAAAUGGAACUGAAUUAGCCGGUUAAGAUUUCAAACAUGUUUUCUUUCUCUCUACUCUGAUGUAUCAUUUCAUUUGAAGGCAUUUAUAACAUUGGU